CGCCUCAGCCUCCCAAAGAGCUGGGAUUACAGGUUUGAGCCACUGUGCCCAGUCUCUCUUUUUUUUUUUUCUGGUUAUUAUAUAAAUACUUUUUAAAAAUGUAAUUUAAUUUUCAGUUCUGGAAUGUAUGUGCAGGACACGCAGGUUUGUUACAUAGGUAAACAUGUGCCACGGUGGUUUGCUGAACCUAUCACCCCGUCAUUUAGGUAUUUAAGCCCCGCAUGUAUUCACUAUUUAUCUUGAUGUUCUCCCUCCCCCUGCCCCACCGACAGGCCCCAGUGUGUGUUGUUCCCCUCCCUGUGUCCAUACAGAGCACCCCUUUCUCUCCAAGGAUCGCUGUGGCCUCUGUAAGCUCCCCUCAUAACUGCUCUGAACUGAGCACCCUGCUGAUGAGGGCUUCUUUCUUUGGAAUCCCAAUCGACCCCAUCCUGGAACAGUUCAGAGUACUCCCUUGUGGGAAUUCCCCCGCCGCUGCUUUUGGGGUGAUUCCAGCGUUGGGUUGGCUGGACAAAACAGCCUCGAAGCAUACUGCCCCAAAUCUGGUCCUUCUGAGUUUCUGAUUCCCUCACUCUUCAUCUCUUAUGACGCCUUCCUAAACAUUCCUGAGAGUUUCAAACAUUGUCUUUCAUUUGACUCAGGGAUUCAUCAUCCGCUUCCUGUUGAAAUAGUAAACGCCUCCACAUGGACUCACGGGUUCACCUCCUUCCGGUCUGAACAGUGAACUCCUCCGCAUCAACUCACCCAUUCACCCCUUCCGGUCUAAACAGUGAACGCCUCCGCAUGGACUCACGAGUUCACCUCCUUCCGGUCUAAACAGUGAACGCCUCCGCAUCGACUCACGGGUUCACCUCCUUCCGGUCUGAACAGUGAACUCCUCCGCAUGGACUCACGGGUUCACCUCCUUCCGGUCUGAACAGUGAACGCCUCCGCAUCGACUCACGGGUUCACCUCCUUCCGGUCUGAACAGUGAACUCCUCCGCAUGGACUCACGGGUUCACCUCCUUCCGGUCUGAACAGUGAACUCCUCCGCAUCGACUCACGGGUUCACCUCCUUCCGGUCUGAACAGUGAACUCCUCCGCAUGGACUCACGGGUUCACCUCCUUCCGGUCUGAACAGUGAACUCCGCAUCGACUCACGCGUUCACCUCCUUCCGGUCUAAAUGUUCUGUUCGGUUCUAUUUUGGUGGGGCCCACGCGUCAUCACAGAGUAUCUGGGAGCCCUGCCCUCUUGCAGAUGGGAAUGAAGGCCCAGGUGCUCUGGAGAGGUGACUCUCCUCUAGUUGUCUCGCUUCUCAGAAAGGAAACACUGGUUCUGUAAACCUGUUUGAGAAGAAAAGCUCGAGGUUUCUUGGCCUCUCUGCUUCUGGAGCCAGGGGAAAAAAUAGCCCCAGGCUGAAGACAGGAGGGACCAGAUUGCUGCUUGGUGAUGCGAUCUCACUGCAGAGGCAGCCAGGAGACCCUCCUGAGACGAAUCGGAGAGUCCAUGCUGCUUUUACACACAUCCUAGUUCUUUUAUAACUAGCCUUUUCCUAUUAACGGACAUCAUUCAAAAGCCAGUUUUAAGCAACAUAAAUAUUGAAAACAAUACUAUACUAUUUAGAAUUAAUUAUAAGUUUUGUUUUUAAAGCCUAAAUCUUUUAUUGUUGUUUGAACCCUGGGCACUGAAGCUAAUAAUGUAACUUUUCUCCCUUCUUUCUUCUUUGGCAUAGAUUUAAAGAACUGUUAGACUCAUUUAAAAUGCUAUUAGGCAUUUUAAAGAGUAAUUGUUAAAUGUGUUGUCUCUUGUGGGACUGGAAAUGUUCUGUUCUUAUCUGGCGCUGGUUACAUCCUGUUUUUCAUUUGGGAAAGUGCAUUGAGCUGGAAAUUUAUAUGUUCAAUUUCUGUAUGUAAAUUGUACUUCAGUAAAAAUUUUCAAAAAAGUGGCUGCCUUUUAUAGCAGGUGUCCCAUGCGCAUAUAUAUAUAUAUAUAUAUAUAUUUUUUUUUUUUUAAGAAGAUGACCUCAAGACCAAGACCUGUUUAAAGGUGGGGAAGGAAGCAGGAUUUGGCAGAGGGAUAAGUCUAGCUGCCAUGCAGGGACAGCUACAGGCUGCCUCAGCCACACACAGGGCGCCCUGGAGCUAAAUUGGCUCUGCAAACUAGCCUGGCUGGAGUUGGACUGAGAUAUCCUAGCCGUUAGGCACUCUUGGGCAAGGUGGCUCCCCCAGCCGAGGCAGUUCCUGAAGGGGCUGACAGCUGCAGUCAGUCUAUCUGCCCAG
rnacentral:lncRNA from 10 species